CAACCUUUACAUAAUGGCUGGAUGAGCUCAGUCCAUUUCCUAUGAGCAAAGAAGGCCAAAAUCCAGAAGGUGAAAGAUCACUUCAGAAAGCCGAGAUUCAAACUGGCUCAGGUGGUGAAUGUGGGAGAUGGAACUGGUUAACAUUUACUCAGCUUGGUGGGGGGACGUUUGUCCGACGUGCGUCUCGAAGAACGCCUUUCACCUGGGAAUUGAGAGACACUUUACGAAAGUGACUUCAGCAGCACAAGACAUUUUGAAGCUGUAAAUAAAAUUGUACGACUCUA